rnacentral:rRNA from 1 species
AUGAACGCUGGCGGCGUGCCUAAUACAUGCAAGUCGAGCGAACAGACGAGGAGCUUGCUCCUCUGACGUUAGCGGCGGACGGGUGAGUAACACGUGGAUAACCUACCUAUAAGACUGGGAUAACUUCGGGAAACCGGAGCUAAUACCGGAUAAUAUAUUGAACCGCAUGGUUCAAUAGUGAAAGACGGUUUUGCUGUCACUUAUAGAUGGAUCCGCGCCGCAUUAGCUAGUUGGUAAGGUAACGGCUUACCAAGGCAACGAUGCGUAGCCGACCUGAGAGGGUGAUCGGCCACACUGGAACUGAGACACGGUCCAGACUCCUACGGGAGGCAGCAGUAGGGAAUCUUCCGCAAUGGGCGAAAGCUUGACGGAGCAACGCCGCGUGAGUGAUGAAGGUCUUCGGAUCGUAAAACUCUGUUAUUAGGGAAGAACAAAUGUGUAAGUAACUAUGCACGUCUUGACGGAACCUAAUCAGAAAGCCACGGCUAACUACGUG